rnacentral:rRNA from 1 species
AGAGUUUGAUCCUGGCUCAGGACGAACGCUGGCGGCGUGCCUAACACAUGCAAGUCGAACGGGGUUAUUUCUUCGGAGAUAACUUAGUGGCGAACGGGUGAGUAACGCGUGAGAAACCUGCCUUUCAGUGUGGGACAACAGUUGGAAACGACUGCUAAUACCGCAUGAUGUUAUUUAGGGGCAUCCCUGAAUAACCAAAGCUUUAUGUGCUGAAAGAUGGUCUCGCGUCUGAUUAGCUAGAUGGCGGGGUAACGGCCCACCAUGGCGACGAUCAGUAGCCGGUCUGAGAGGAUGAACGGCCACAUUGGGACUGAGAUACGGCCCAGACUCCUACGGGAGGCAGCAGUGGGGAAUAUUGGGCAAUGGGGGAAACCCUGACCCAGCAACGCCGCGUGAAGGAAGAAGGCCUUCGGGUUGUAAACUUCUUUUACCAGGGACGAAGGACGUGACGGUACCUGGAGAAAAAGCAACGGCUAACUACGUGCCAGCAGCCGCGGUAAUACGUAGGUUGCAAGCGUUGUCCGGAUUUACUGGGUGUAAAGGGCGUGUAGGCGGAGAUGCAAGUUGGGAGUGAAAUCCCGGGGCUCAACCCCGGAACUGCUUUCAAAACUGUAUCCCUUGAGUGUCGGAGAGGCAAGCGGAAUUCCUAGUGUAGCGGUGAAAUGCGUAGAUAUUAGGAGGAACACCAGUGGCGAAGGCGGCUUGCUGGACGAUAACUGACGCUGAGGCGCGAAAGCGUGGGGAGCAAACAGGAUUAGAUACCCUGGUAGUCCACGCUGUAAACGAUGAAUACUAGGUGUGGGAAGACUGACCCCUUCC